rnacentral:rRNA from 1 species
GUGGGGAAUUUUGGACAAUGGGCGCAAGCCUGAUCCAGCAAUGCCGCGUGCAGGAAGAAGGCCUUCGGGUUGUAAACUGCUUUUGUACGGAACGAAACGGUCCUGGUUAAUACCUGGGGCUAAUGACGGUACCGUAAGAAUAAGCACCGGCUAACUACGUGCCAGCAGCCGCGGUAAUACGUAGGGUGCGAGCGUUAAUCGGAAUUACUGGGCGUAAAGCGUGCGCAGGCGGUGCUGUAAGACAGGCGUGAAAUCCCCGGGCUCAACCUGGGAAUUGCGCUUGGGACUGCAGUGCUGGAGUACGGCAGAGGGGGAUGGAAUUCCGCGUGUAGCAGUGAAAUGCGUAGAUAUGCGGAGGAACACCGAUGGCGAAGGCAGUCCCCUGGGCCUGUACUGACGCUCAUGCACGAAAGCGUGGGGAGCAAACAGGAUUAGAUACCCGAGUAGUCC